rnacentral:rRNA from 1 species
UACGGAGGGUGCAAGCGUUAUCGGGAAUCACUGGGCGUAAAGGGCGCGUAGGCGGUCUGUUAAGUCCGAUGUUAAAGCCCGGGGCUCAACCCCGGCAUUGCGUUGGAUACUGGCAGGCUGGACGACGGGAGAGGAAAGUAGAAUUACCAGUGUAGCGGUGAAAUGCGUAGAUACUGGGAGGAAUACCCAUUGCGAAGGCAGCUUUCUGGACAGUGUGUGACGCUGAGGCGCGAAAGUGGGGGGAGCAAACCGG